CAGCCGCCGCGGUAAUACCGGCGGCCCGAGUGGCGGCCACUAUUAUUGGGCUUAAAGCGUCCGUAGCCGGGUUGGUUAGUCUCCCGGGAAAUCUGGCCGCUUAACGGUCAGAAUUCCGGGAGAUACUGCCAGCCUAGGGACCGGGAGAGGCCGAGGGUAUUCCCGGAGUAGGGGUGAAAUCCUAUAAUCCCGGGAGGACCACCUGUGGCGAAGGCGCUCGGCUGGAACGGGUCCGACGGUGAGGGACGAAGGCCAGGGGAGCAAGCCGGAUUAGAUACCCGGGUAGUCCUGGCUGUAAACGAUGCGGACUUUGUGUCGGACAAGCUAUGAGCUUGUCCGGUGCCGGAGGGAAACCGUUAAGUCCGCCGCCUGGGGAGUACGGCCGCAAGGCUGAAACUUAAAGGAAUUGGCGGG
rnacentral:rRNA from 1 species